AAGCGCAUGUAGGGGCCUUUUAANUCANUCGUGAAAUGCGUGNUNACCCCCGUAUGGCGAUUGAAACCGGAAGGCUUGAGUGCAGGAGAGGAAAGGGGAACUCCCAGUGUAGCGGUGAAAUGCGUAGAUAUUGGGAAGAACACCAGUGGCGAAGGCGCCUUUCUGGACUGUGUCUGACGCUGAGAUGCGAAAGCCAGGGUAGCAAACGGGAUUAGAUACCCCGGUAGUCCUGGCCGUAAAC
rnacentral:rRNA from 1 species